rnacentral:rRNA from 1 species
UACGUAGGGUGCAAGCGUUAAUCGGAAUUACUGGGCGUAAAGAGCUCGUAGGCGGUCUGUCGCGUCGGCUGUGAAAACUCGGGGCUCAACCCCGAGCCUGCAGUCGAUACGGGCAGACUAGAGUGCGGUAGGGGAGACUGGAAUUCCUGGUGUAGCGGUGAAAUGCGCAGAUAUCAGGAGGAACACCGGUGGCGAAGGCGGGUCUCUGGGCCGUAACUGACGCUGAGGAGCGAAAGCAUGGGGAGCGAACAGG